GUUGGAUACGGCGAUAUGUAUCCUCGAACUUUUGCUGGCAAAAUUGUCGGUUUUCUUUGCGCAAUUUGCGGUGUUCUUUGCAUCGCACUUCCAGUUCCAUCAAUUGUCUCUAAU
rfam:Oikopleura dioica, whole genome shotgun assembly, reference scaffold set, scaffold scaffold_21